AAAUAAAGCGAUAAUUUGCAUUCAGUUUCGGCCUGAAUUUAGAAAAAAAUUUCUAUUUU
rnacentral:tRNA from 1 species